UGAUCAAUUCAAAGGAAAAAUAGAGUCUUGCAGUUUGAUCCUUCCCUACGGUUAUAAGUCGCAGGUAUACACCUUGGUGCGGCAACACUGUCUCCUGCACUACUACUCACUAAAAGUAAUUCGCCAGCAGCGAUGUUCUUGUUUAUGUGAAGGGAAUAAAUAAUCUAAUCUAAUAAUUAAAGAUUUUCUAAUUAUUUGUGAACAUCAAAUUAUGUGAUUGAGAUUAUUUCUUCCCUUUACAUAACCAACAACAUCGCUGCUUGGGAAUUACUUUUGGGGAGUAGUAGUGCAGGAGACAGUGUUGCCGCACCAAGGUGUAUACCUGCGACUUACAACCAUAGGGAAGGAUCAAAGUGGAAGACUCUAUUUUUCCUUUGAGGUGAUCAUUACGGUUACUACCCCGCACACAACUAGGGGGGGGUGAAAUUAAUUUUUGUAUCGUGGGAAGUUAUUUGAUAUUCUCGCUUGACGCCGCCUAGAACUGAUGCGCGUCAAGCUGCAUUUUUGAAAAUUAAUCCCCUCCCCGUAAUUCGGAUUAAGAAACGAAACCACCAUCAUUAAUGAAGAAUUUAAUGAGCAAUUGAAUGACGUUGGUUUCAUUUCUUCAUCUCAAGUAGAAGGGGAGAAAUGAAUUUUUCAAUCGUGGGAGUCUAUUGGGAAUUCUCGCUUGCCGUCGCCGGGAACUGAUGCGCGUUAAGUUGCAUUUCUAAAAAUUAAUAAUAAUUAAUCCCUGAUAAUGAAUCCCCCCCCUAAUGAGGGAAAAGCUUCGCUCAACGCCGUUCGGAUAUUCAGAACGCCUGCCCAGCCGUUUAAUUUCCCCUAUUUCCUUGUAUUCCCCCACCCCACACUAUCCGGGUUACCGACUUUUCCCUCUGCUCCGGUUUUGCAGGCGUAACGUUCGGUACCUUACCAACAAACGUGCCUGCAAAAUUAGUUCCGGCGCUACCGCUAGGACAUUUCGUGGUUGAUCUCCUAGGACUGGCCCUGCUGAUCUCCCCUAUGGUCUCUGAUAAGCACUGUCCGAAAACUGAGCUCCGAGAAGUUAUCAACUUAUUAUUCUAAUCAAUUAUCCCGCUCAUGCCCAAUCGUUUGAAGGUCCUUUGCAGGUCUAUGAUAGAUAAGAAUUAUUGUUUGAUCGAUCAUCGUUUUUUUAAAAUUAAUUUUUCAAAAAAAUGAAAUAUUUCUACGGAAGUUAUCAUCUUUUUUUUUUAAUUUGGCCCUAGAAUGUUGAAUGACCGCUCAAACGAUCGAGAAUCGUUUGCAGGUGAUUGAUAGAUGAUCAUCAAUCCCCUACAGAACACUAAUUAUGAAUUAUUGAUUAAAAAUCAUUUUGAGGUUACUGAGCUCAGCGGCGGCGGAGUAGGGAGAUCGCCAUAUUGUAUUCAACAGCUGACGGUUUGCAUUUUGAGGCAUGGCGAAAAACUACUCCGAAACAACUUCUUUCCAAUCAAACUCACGAUCUCAUCUACAGGAGCAGGGCGCAAAUAUUGUUAUCUCUUUGUGACACUGACGUAUGUUAUUCUACUGAGAAAAUGUGGAAUGACAUUCCAAUAUUAGAAAUCGAAGUAUGUGGUACACCAGCCGAUGUUUGGAGGAAUUGUCUUUUUAAUGAACCGAGCCAAUGGAAAAAGUAUGAUUUUAUUUGUGGGAGCUAUAUCCAACCCAUUUCGAUCUUGGAGCCGAAUAUUCCUAAACCAUUGAUCACAUCAAACAAGUUACUUUUACCUCUGGAGUUUCAUAAAGUUUUAAAAAAGGUGCAAUGUCGCCGACCUCUUUCUAGCAGCAGAUGCAAUGUAGAGACAACCCAAUUUUCAUCUAUUCAUUCAUUUGAAGCAAUCAACUAAGUGUUUGCUGGAGAAUGUAUUUAAAAUGAUUGAAAUGGGCGAUCAGUAUCAAAUUGCUGGGGUCAUCAGUGCAUUUCAUGACCGAUACGUGGCCUUUUGUUUAGUGAAUGGAAAGUGGUGGUUGUACGACAACCAGCAGCCAAACAUCCGAAUGACAUCAGAUGUAGAAUUCGUUGAACUGGUUGGAUUAGUUUAUAUUUUAAAAAGUACAACGAGUUGCUAAGCAUCUUAAAAAAAAUAUCACUUACCAAAGUUAUUCUAUCAAAGAUGAAUAUUUAUUUGUUUUCCAAUAAAAAAAUAUAAUGAUUAGAAAAUUUA